rnacentral:rRNA from 1 species
CACGUAGGGUGCGAGCGUUGUCCGGAAUUAUUGGGCGUAAAGAGCUCGUAGGCGGUGUGUCGCGUCGGCCGUGAAAACCUGCAGCUUAACUGUGGGCUUGCGGUCGAUACGGGCAUCACUGGAGUUCGGCAGGGGAGACUGGAAUUCCGGGUGUAGCGGUGGAAUGCGUAGAGAUCCGGAAGAACACCGGUGGCGAAGGCGGUCUGCUGGGGUGAUGCUGACACUGAUGCGCGACAGCGUGGGGAGCAAACAGG